CUUGAGGGAGCCCAGCCACAGGGGCCGGUCGUCCGGCCGGUCCCGGCCGUACGUGGCCAGCAGCGCGUGCGCCUC
rnacentral:antisense_RNA from 1 species